UGAUGAAGGCGAUGUUGGUGAGGUUCAAUCUGAAGAUGGGGUUAUGCCUGAGGGCAUAAAAGUUCAUUUCGGAUUGAGCCGCGCCAAUAUCACUUUUCUUUCU
rfam:Corchorus olitorius cultivar O-4 contig14812, whole genome shotgun sequence.